UACGAAGGGUGCAAACGUUGCUCGGAAUUAUUGGGCGUAAAGCGCACGUAGGCGGCAUUGCAAGUCGGAUGUGAAAUCCCUCGGCUCAACCAAGGAAGUGCAUCCGAAACUGCUGUGCUUGAGUACUUAAGAGGAUCGCGGAAUUCCCGGUGUAGAGGUGAAAUUCGUAGAUAUCGGGAGGAACACCAGUGGCGAAGGCGGCGACCUGGGCAGAUACUGACACUGAGGUGCGAAAGCGUGGGGAGCAAACAGG
rnacentral:rRNA from 1 species